rnacentral:rRNA from 1 species
CGCCUCUUGCAAUACACUAAGUAUAAGAGGUCCAGCCUGCCCAGUGACUACGGGUUCAACGGCCGCGGUAUUCUGACCGUGCAAAGGUAGCGCAAUCACUUGUCUCUUAAAUAGAGACCUGUAUGAAUGGCUAGACGAGGGCUUAACUGUCUCCCCCUUCCAGUCAGUGAAAUUGAUCUAUCCGUGCAGAAGCGGGUAUAAAUUUACAAGACGAGAAGACCCUUUGGAGCUUAAGGUACAAAAUUCAACCACGUCAAACGACUCCAUAAGAAGCAAAAACUUAGUGGCACAUGGACCUUUACCUUCGGUUGGGGCGACCAUGGAGGAAAAACGAGCCUCCCAGUGGACCGGGCCAUAACCCCUGAAGCCAAAAGAGACAUCUUUAGGCCGCAGAAUAUCUGACCAACAAUGAUCCGGCCAACAAAGCCGAUCAACGAACCAAGUUACCCUAGGGAUAACAGCGCAAUCCUCUCCCAGAGUCCAUAUCUACGAGGGGGUUUACGACCUCGAUGUUGGAUCAGGACAUCCUAAUGGUGCAGCCGCUAUUAAGGGUUCGUUUGUUCAACGAUUAAAGUCCU